UGGGGAAUAUUGCACACUGGGGGAAACCCUGAUGCAGCGACGCCGCGUGAACGAAGAAGGUAUUCGUAUCGUAAAGUUCUGUCCUAUGGGAAGAUAAUGACAGUACCAUAGAAGAAAGCUCCGGCUAAAUACGUGCCAGCAGCCGCGGUAAUACGUAUGGAGCGAGCGUUGUCCGGAAUUAUUGGGCGUAAAGGGUACGCAGGCGGUUUAAUAAGUCGAAUGUUAAAGAUCGGGGCUCAACCCCGCAAAGCAUUGGAAACUGAUAAACUUGAGUAGUGGAGAGGAAAGUGGAAUUCCUAGUGUAGUGGUGAAAUACGUAGAUAUUAGGAGGAAUACCAGUAGCGAAGGCGACUUUCUGGACACCAACUGACGCUGAGGUACGAAAGCGCGGGGAGCAAACAGG
rnacentral:rRNA from 1 species